AUUCCUAUAAUUUGAUUUGUAUUGGCGAAAGAGAUAUUUCUAGGUACUUGCUCAUCGAUCUAGUGUUGUAUAAUUUUUUUUUUUUUUUUUUCGUCUGAUUUGAUCCAUAAAAUAUCGGAAAAAUACAUUGUGAGAUUACAUAUGUUGCGGAAUAAAUUGAUCUUUUCAGAAACAAAGUGUUAGUAUAUACUCAGAAUAUCCUCGUAUAUUUCUCUAAGUGAUAAAACCAAAUCUAGAUAUGAUACGAUAACUGUAUAUCUUCUUGUAUAUCUCAUGUUGAGAUUCUCGACUUAUCUGUGUAUAAAUACCUGUGUAUACAUCAAUGGAAAGAAAUCAAGUUUCAACACUUAUACAAAGUCCAAACGAAGAAAGUAAAACUUUAAGUUACAUGAAAACUAAAAGCACAAAUAACCGAUACAUCUUUCUCUUCCUCUAAUCUUUUGUGUGGCUGUUGUGGUCGCUUCGGUGGAGGUACUUGAGGACGGCACCACUUUUGUGGUUUUCGACAGAUCUGGAUUGGUGAAUCUUCGUGUGUCGUUUUUUCUCUUCAGUGUGGUUUGUUGUGGCUCUGGUGAGCAAAGGGGCUGAGCUUCUCUUCUGUUGAGCUCGUGGAGGUCAGGUUCUGGUUACUUGUUGCUGGAUUUGUCGAUCCUUCCUCCUCCAGCGGUGCGAUGCAUCACCAGAUUGUAAGUUUGAUUUUGUUUUGUGGGUUAGUUGGGAUUGCUUUAAUUGCAGGUCUUGGAUUACAAACGAUGAGCAGCGGUGAGCAAAUUCCUUCUCCGACAGCGGUGGUGUGGUUGAUUUCUUUUCUCGAUGUAGUGGUGGCUCGGGUUUGGUGGUCGAUUGGAUGCGAGGUCGUGAUGCCUUGGUUUUAGGACGGUGGGGAAUGCGAUGGUGUCUAUUUGUGGAUCACCCUCCCAAUUCGUAGCUGCGACUACAGCGGAAGUCGACGGAGAAACAGUGGGUUAGCUAUUUAGUCUUGGUGGUUAACCGAUGGUCUUUGGAUUCAUGAAGGCGCUUAUGGAUUAUACGGAGUUUUUGGGCUUGCUUGAGCCACUUGUCAAAUUGAUCUGCCGCGAGGAUUCAUCCACAAGACCGGAUUUGAAGUGUUCCCUUUUGUAGCAAAAUACCAUUGUUCCAUAUAUGGCAAAGAUUAUAAGACGUCUCACAUGUCGUUAUGAUUCCCUACCUCCCUUCUUGUGUCUCUCUCAGGGUGCAUUCACUAGGUUAUUUUUAAUUUCUUAUACAUAGAGGGAUAAUAUAAUUAAUUAGCUUACAUUUUUCUUUUAUUUUUGGUUAAAAAUUUAGUGACAUUUUCCCACUCAAAACAAAAGUUCUGGUACAAUAUACGGACAUACGUAUGCAUUUCGUACGUAAUCCUAUUAGAUGAGAAAUUGCAGUAUUGGAGAAGUAUAUUUACUCGUUAUCGUAUAUAUUAUAAAAAAAUUUAAGGUAUAUAUAAUACACAUGUAAGGACACAUAUUAUUUUUAGAAUGAAUGAACAAACAACAUGUGACAGAUACGCGAAAAAAAGUUUUGUGUUCUUUCAAUGCUGUGAAACUACUUAAUGAAGAAGUAUCAGUAAUCAAGUGUCCAAUACUGUAA